rnacentral:pre_miRNA from 1 species
GCCUCAUGGCUCUGGGCCUGAUUCAAGUAAUCCAGGAUAGGUUUGUUCAGACAAGCACAGCCUGUUCCGGAUGACUUGGUUCAGGAAC